rnacentral:rRNA from 1 species
GCAUUAUACCGUGAAACUGCGAAUGGCUCAUUAAAUCAGUUAUCGUUUAUUUGAUAGUACCUUACUACUUGGAUAACCGUGGUAAUUCUAGAGCUAAUACAUGCUAAAAACCCCGACUUCGGGAGGGGUGUAUUUAUUAGAUAAAAAACCAAUGCCCUUCGGGGCUCUUUGGUGAUUCAUGAUAACUUAACGGAUCGCAUGGCCUUGCGCCGGCGACGGUUCAUUCAAAUUUCUGCCCUAUCAACUUUCGAUGGUAAGGUAUUGGCUUACCAUGGUUUCAACGGGUAACGGGGAAUUAGGGUUCGAUUCCGGAGAGGGAGCCUGAGAAACGGCUACCACAUCCAAGGAAGGCAGCAGGCGCGCAAAUUACCCAAUCCCGACUCGGGGAGGUAGUGACAAUAAAUACUGAUACAGGGCUCUUUUGGGUCUUGUAAUCGGAAUGAGUACAAUUUAAACCCCUUAACGAGGAACAAUUGGAGGGCAAGUCUGGUGCCAGCAGCCGCGGUAAUUCCAGCUCCAAUAGCGUAUAUUAAAGUUGUUGCAGUUAAAAAGCUCGUAGUUGAACCUUGGGCCUGGCUGGCCGGUCCGCCUCACCGCGUGUACUGGUCCGGCCGGGCCUUUCCUUCUGGAGAGCCGCAUGCCCUUCACUGGGUGUGUUGGGGAACCAGGACUUUUACUUUGAAAAAAUUAGAGUGUUCAAAGCAGGCCUUUGCUCGAAUACGUUAGCAUGGAAUAAUAGAAUAGGACGUGCGGUCCUAUUUUGUUGGUUUCUAGGACCGCCGUAAUGAUUAAUAGGGAUAGUCGGGGGCAUCAGUAUUCAAUUGUCAGAGGUGAAAUUCUUGGAUUUAUUGAAGACUAACUACUGCGAAA